rnacentral:rRNA from 1 species
AUUGAACGCUGGCGGCAUGCCUUACACAUGCAAGUCGAACGGUAACAGGUCUUCGGAUGCUGACGAGUGGCGAACGGGUGAGUAAUACAUCGGAACGUGCCCGAUCGUGGGGGAUAACGAAGCGAAAGCUUUGCUAAUACCGCAUAAGAUCUACGGAUGAAAGCAGGGGACCGCAAGGCCUUGCGCGAACGGAGCGGCCGAUGGCAGAUUAGGUAGUUGGUGGGAUAAAAGCUUACCAAGCCGACGAUCUGUAGCUGGUCUGAGAGGACGACCAGCCACACUGGGACUGAGACACGGCCCAGACUCCUACGGGAGGCAGCAGUGAGGAAUUUUGGACAAUGGGCGAAAGCCUGAUCCAGCCAUGCCGCGUGCAGGAUGAAGGCCUUCGGGUUGUAAACUGCUUUUGUACGGAACGAAAAGACUCUGGUUAAUACCUGGGGUCCAUGACGGUACCGUAAGAAUAAGCACCGGCUAACUACGUG